UGAUGCUCUGCAAAAGCCAUUAUUAAAACAGUAUAUUUUAUAUUGUCCUCAUUUCAUAUACAUCAUCUAGGGCAAUAGCUUCGUCAUUUUGUUGACUGUUUUGGCAGUCAAUCUUAACUUUUCAAGGAAUUUACUUCUUUCUUUUGGUAAGGAUGGUGAAGGUGAAACUAUUUUAUAUGAAAGAUUCAUUCAGAUAGAACAAAGAGGCCGCACCUCCAAACAUAAGACACAUGCUCAAUGCCAUCAGAUCAUACUUGGAAAGCCAUCUGGGAGUUGGCUUUACAUUUUUCUAAUCUAGCCAUUAAACUGAACUUGUGAGGCACGUUUGGUAGCUGAAACCAUUUCUUUCGUGCUGUAAAGAGCAGUGCAGUGGACGUAUAAUCGGUGAGCAAUGGAUAAAAUAUACAGAGAUUUAAGUUUAAGUAGGAGGUUUAUGGAUUAUUUUGGAGGUCAAUGAAUCUGAAGUCUAGGCAGAAGUGUGUCAAAGAGGUCAUCAUCUACAAUAAAGGCAAAGCCACCAGCAAGGUAUAAAGACAACUAAAUAAAAGCUCGGUACACCUAGUUUUGAAUCUUAACUGUGAAAAAAAGAACAAUUUUAUGCUCAAUGAUUCAGAAACACAAGAGUCCCUUUUGUCCUGUAAAAAUCCUAGAGAAAUUAGGCUACAAGAACAGAAAAUUAACCUCUUAUAGAGUAUCUGAUCAAGGAUACGUAAAAUCCCAAGCGAUGACGAUCCUCCAUGGGAAAUUUGCAAAAGUGCUCGCCUUUAGAAGAAUCAAUUGUACAUGAUACCAAUAGUUGAUGAGGUGUUGUAAUGCAGCUUCUACCAUGUAGGUUAUAUUCCUUUCGUCCCUUAAUAAAUGCAACAUUUUGGAUUUUGAACUUUUCCCAUACCUAAAUUUGACCAUAAUACUUUAAAACUAUAUUAUAACAAAUUUUAGUAGAUUGUCUCAAUAUAUAUUUCAAAAUAUCAACUUCUCAUAAUCGCGUAAUAAAGAUGGUUAAAGAUAUAUAUAGUCAAGUUGUGCAUAUGCAAAUGUGAAAGUCAAACUAUUUUUAACUGAGAGAGAGGGACUAUGAAGCAGGUUGAGCGAGCUAUGGUCUGCAAGCCAAGCUUUUCCACCUUGUAU